GCGGGAGUAGCUAAGCCUGGCCAAAGGCGCAGGACUUAAGAUUCUGUCUCAUAGGAGUCCAGGGGUUCAAAUCCCCUCUCCCGCA
rnacentral:tRNA from 1 species